rnacentral:rRNA from 1 species
UACGAAGGGGGCUAGCGUUGCUCGGAAUCACUGGGCGUAAAGCGCACGUAGGCGGACUCUUAAGUCGGGGGUGAAAUCCUGGAGCUCAACUCCAGAACUGCCUUCGAUACUGAGAGUCUUCGAGUUCGGGAGAGGUGAGUGGAACUGCGAGUGUAGAGGUGAAAUUCGUAGAUAUUCGCAAGAACACCAGUGGCGAAGGCGGCUCACUGGCCCGAUACUGACGCUGAGGUGCGAAAGCGUGGGGAGCAAACAGG